CGACCCCAGGUCAUGUGAGAUUACCCGUUGAGUUUAGGCAUAUCAAUAAGUGGAGGAAGAGAAACUUACCACGAUUCCCCUAGUAACGGCGAGUGAAUCAGGAAAAUCUAGCUUAUGAAUCAGGUGCCAUCGGUGUUCGAAUUGUAGUCUAGAGAAGCGUACUCAGCGGUGGACUGGGCCCAAGUCGCCUGGAAAGGGGCACCGGAGAGGGUGAGAGCCCUGUCGUGCCCGGACCCUAUCGCACCACAAGGCGCUAUCUACGAGUCGGGUUGUUUGGGAAUGCAACCCUAAUCGGGCAAUAAAUUCCAUCCAAGGCUAAAUACAGGGGAGAGACCGAUAGUGAACAAGUACCGCGAGGGAAAGAUGAAAAGGACUUUGAAAAGAGAGUCAAAGGGUGCUUGAAAUUGUUGGGAGAGAAGUGGAUAGGGGCCGACGAUGCGCACCAGUCGGAUGUGGAAUGGCGAGAGCUUGUCCGUCGAUCAGCUUAGGGCGUGGAUCAUCGCAGUUCGUGGUGGCGACCUAAGCCCGGGCCUUUGAUAUGCCAGUGGAGACGUUGUCACCUCGAUCGUGGGAUCCAGCACGAACCGUCACGAUGUGCUUUGGCACCUGCGUGCUCUGAGCAUCAGCCUGUGGGCUCCCCAUUCGGCCUAUCUUGAAACAUGGACCAAGGAUUCUGACAUGUGUGCAAGUCAAUAGGCUAGAAAACCCAUAAGGCACAAGAAAACUAAUUUGUGGGAUCCCUCGUGGGUGCACCGCCAAUCGACCUUGAUCUUCUGAGAAGGGUUCAAGUGAGAGCAUGCCUGUUGGGACCCGAAAGUUGGUGAACUAUGCUUGAGCGGGGCAAAGCCAGAGGAAACUUUGGUGGAGGCCCGCAGCGAUACUGACGUGCAAAUCAUUCGUCUGACUUGGGUAACGUGGUGAAAGACUAAUCGAAAUGUCUAGUAGCUGAUUCCCUUUGAAGUUUCCCUCAACGUAGCUGGAGCCCUUAGCAAGUUUUAUCGGGUAAAGCCAAUGAUUAGAGGCAUCGGCGGCAUAACGCCCUCGACCUAUUCUCAAACUUUAAUUAGGUAGGACGGCGCGGCUACUUCGUCGAGCCACGCCACAGAAUCGAGAGCUCCAAGUGGGCCAUUUUUGGUAAGCAAAACUGGCGAUACGAGAUGAACAGGAAGCCGGGUUACAGUGCCCAACUGCGCGCUAACCUAGAACUCACAAAGGGUGUCGGUCUAUUAAGACAGCAGGACGGUGGUCAUAGAAGUCGAAAUUCGCUAAGGAGUAUGUAUCAACUUACUUGCCGAAUCAACUAGCCCUGAAAAUGAAUGGCACUUAAGCGCGUGACCUAUACCCGGCUGUCAGGGAAUGGGCCAGGCGCUGAUGAGUAGAAGGGUGCGAAGGUUACCGUAAAACCCGGGGCUGAGCCCAUGCGGAGCGAUCGUCGGUGCAGAUCUUGGUGGUAGUAGUAAAUAUUCAAAUGAGAACUUUGAAGGCCGAAAAAGGGAAAGGUUCCAUGUGAACGACACUUGCACAUGGGUUAGUCGAUCCUAAUAGACAGGGGAAGCCCGUUUGAUAGCGCGUUCAGCACGAGCUUCGAAAGGGAAUGGCGUUAAAAUUCCUGAACCAAGACGCGGUGGCUGAUGGAAACAUUAAGGAGUCUAAAAACAUUGGCGAGGGCCUCGAGAUGAGUUAUCUUUUCUCUUUAACGGCCUGCCCACCCUGGAAAUGGCUCAACCAGAGGUAUGGUUCAGCGACCGAAAGAGCACGGUACGUCGCGUGGUGUCCGGUGCGCCCCCGACAGCCCUUGAAAAUUUAGAGGACCGAGUGUCGUCCGCACUCGGUCGUACUCAUAACCGCAUCAGGUCUCCAAGGUGAAUAGCUUAUGGCCAAUGGAACAAUGUAGGAAAGGGAAGUCAGUAAAAUAGAUUCGUAACCUUGGGAAAAGGAUUGGCUUUGAAGGCAAGGCACGGGGGUCCCAGUCCAAAACUUGUCGGCUGCCAGUGCACUAUUUGAGCUACUCCUGCCGUGAGAGCGGGUCACUGCGUGCUAGCCGGGAGACGGACUGGGAACGGGUACCUUAGAAUCCAUCCCUAGGCGAUAAACAGUCGACUCAGAAUUGGUACGGACAAGGGGAAUCGGACUAUUUAAUUAAAACAAAGUGUUGCGAUGGUCCCUGUGGAUGCUCAUGUAAUGUGAUUUCUGCCCAGUGUUCUGAAUGUCAAAGUGAAGAAAUUCAACCAAGCGCGGGUAAACGGCGGGAGUAACUAUGACUCUCUUAAGGUAGCCAAAUGCCUCGUCAUCUAAUUAGUGAUGAGCAUGAAUAGAUUAACAAGAUUCCCACUGUCCCUAUCUACUAUCCAGCGAAAGCACAGCCAAGGGAACGGGCUUGGCAAAAUCAGCGGGGAAAGAAGACCCUAUUGAGCUUGACUCUAUUCUGACUUUUUAAUAUGACUUGAGAGGUGUAGGAUAAGUGGGAGGUCUCGAGCGAAAUUAAAAUACCACUACUUGUAACAUUAUUUUACUUAUUCUAUGAAUCAGAUUUGGGGUAUGGCCCCUCUUUUUGGACCCAAGGUCGGCUUUGGCUGUCAAUCUGGCAAAAGACAGUGUCAAGUGGGGAGUUUGGCUGGGGUGGCACAUCUGUUGAAAGAUAACACAGGUGUCCUAAGAUGAGCUCAACGAGAACAUAAAUCUCAUGUGGACCAAAAGGGUAAAAGCUCGUUUGAUUCAAAUUUUCAGUACGAAUACGAACCGUGAAAGCGUGGCCUAUCGAUCCUUUAGACCUUCAAAAUUUGAAGCUAGAGGUGUCAGAAAAGUUACCACAGGGAUAACUGGCUUGUGGCAGCCAAGCGUUCAUAGCGACUUUGCUUUUUGAUCCUUCCAUCUUGGCUCUUCCUAUCAUUGUGAAGCAGAAUUCACCAAGUGUUGGAUUGUUCAACCACCAAUAGAAAAUUUGAGCUGGGUUUAGACCGUAGUGAGACAGGUUAGUUUUACCCUACUGAUGGCUGCGUCAUAAUAGUAAUUCAAUCUUGUACGAGAAGAACCGUUGAUUCGCACAAUUGGUCAUCGUGCUUGGUUAAAAAGCCAGUGGCGCGAAGCUACCGUGCGCUAGAUUAUGACUGAAUGCCUCUAAGUCAGAAUCUGGGCUAGAAGCAAUGCACGCGGUCGUUGCCCGAUUUUCAACCUUUAGUAAGGGCCUUUGGCCCCCAAAGGCACAUGUCGUAGGUGCAGCGACUGUCGCAGACAAGUUGCGGGCGUCUCCUUAAAGUAUAAUUCCCAACUAGUAGCGGGUAGAAUCCUUUGCAAAUGAAUUAAAUAUACGACGGGGUAUUGUAAGUGGCAAAGUAGCCUUACUGCCACGAUCCACUGAUAUUUAGCCCUUUGUCGCUUCGAUUCCU
rfam:Gossypium hirsutum cultivar TM-1 chromosome 13, whole genome shotgun sequence